CCUACGGGAGGCAGCAGUGGGGAAUUUUGGACAAUGGGCGAAAGCCUGAUCCAGCCAUGCCGCGUGCAGGAAGAAGGCCUUCGGGUUGUAAACUGCUUUAGUUCGGGAAAAAGGGAUGCUUGGUUAAUACCCGAGUGUUUUGAUGGUACCGGAAGAAUAAGCACCGGCUAACUACGUGCCAGCAGCCGCGGUAAUACGUAGGGUGCGAGCGUUAAUCGGAAUUACUGGGCGUAAAGCGUGCGCAGGCGGUCUUGUAAGACAGUCGUGAAAUCCCUGGGCUUAACCUAGGAACUGCGAUUGUGACUGCAAGGCUAGAGUGUGUCAGAGGGGGGUGGAAUUCCACGUGUAGCAGUGAAAUGCGUAGAGAUGUGGAGGAACACCGAUGGCGAAGGCAGCCCCCUGGGAUAACACUGACGCUCAUGCACGAAAGCGUGGGGAGCAAACAGGAUUAGAUACCCUGGUAGUCCACGCCCUAAACGAUGUCGACUGGUUGUUGGGUGGGUAACCACUUAGUAACGAAGCUAACGCGUGAAGUCGACCGCGNGGAGUACGGUCGCGAGAGUAAACUACUAAUUAGAGUAGUUAGNGUGAGAGNGCGACGGACGACGACGAGGAGGAGG
rnacentral:rRNA from 1 species